rnacentral:rRNA from 1 species
CUUACCAACCCUUGACAUCCCCGGACCGCUGGCGAGAGCCGGCUUUCUCGUAAGAGACCGGGAGACAGGUGCUGCAUGGCUGUCGUCAGCUCGUGUCGUGAGAUGUUCGGUUAAGUCCGGCAACGAGCGCAACCCACGUCCCCAGUUGCCAGCAUUCAGUUGGGCACUCUGUGGAAACUGCCGAUGAUAAGUCGGAGGAAGGUGUGGAUGACGUCAAGUCCUCAUGGCCCUUACGGGUUGGGCUACACACGUGCUACAAUGGUGGUGACAGUGGGUUAAUCCCCAAAAGCCAUCUCAG